rnacentral:rRNA from 1 species
AUUGAACGCUGGCGGCAUGCUUUACACAUGCAAGUCGAACGGCAGCGCGGGGCAACCUGGCGGCGAGUGGCGAACGGGUGAGUAAUACAUCGGAACGUACCCAGAAGUGGGGGAUAACGUAGCGAAAGUUACGCUAAUACCGCAUACGUUCUACGGAAGAAAGUGGGGGACCUUCGGGCCUCAUGCUUUUGGAGCGGCCGAUGUCUGAUUAGCUAGUUGGUGAGGUAAAGGCUCACUAAGGCGACGAGCAGUAGCUGGUCUGAGAGGACGACCAGCCAAACUGGGACUGAGAAACGGCCCAGACUCCUAAGGGAGGCAGCAGUGGGGAAUUUUGGACAAUGAGCGCAAGCCUGAUCCAGCAAUGCUGCGUGAGUGAAGAAGGCCUUCGGGUUGUAAAGCUCUUUUGUCAGGGAAGAAACGGCUGAGGAUAAUACGUAUCAACUGUGACGUUACUCGCAGAAGAAGCACCGGCUAACUCCGUGCCAGCAGCCGCCGUAA